CAGGCCCCAGCACUUCUGCCCGCCCCUGCCACACACCUCCCCCACUGGCCCUUCCUUCCCUGUGUCCAGGGACACUGAGAAAACCAAGGUGCGCUGCUGCCUUCACAGGUGCUGGCCUCCCCCCGCAGGCCUGUCUGGGCCUGGCCACCAGCCCUGGGACCAUUUCCUCACUGUCAGUGCCCCAGUGAGUCACCUCUAGUCUGGCCCCAGGCCAGCCUGGGCUCCUCGGAUGCCUACCUGAGAGAGAGAAGGUGGAAGUCCCUGCUGCCCACUCAUUGCCUUGUCCAGAGGCCCAGCAGGAUGCACCCAGGCUCCCAGGGCUGCCAGGGAGCCUCAGGCUGCGGGACGCUGCCCUGAAGCCUGGUCUGGCAGGCCCACUUCCUCAGUACCCGCAUCUGCUGCUGACGUGGACGCCCCGCACCUUCCUUGGAGCGCAGGAAGAGCCGCGGACAUGAGGGCCGUACCUUAGGAAUGCUGCAGCCUCAGCGCCGGUCCUGCGGGUCCUGCCGCUCCCUAGAUGGCUUCUCUGUCCAGCCUCCCUGCCCUCUCUCAUCUCAGGCUGAGAAUGGAGCCCCCCGCCCUGGUGCCAGCAGGCGGGACACCUGCUGUGGAGGCUUGGAAGACGUCGGUGGCUUCUGCGAGUGCCCCUCUGCCAGUGCCGCUCCUGAGGGUGUUCCUUUUGACCUCACCCCCCUCUUCCUCCUGUCCUCGGGAGCAGGCUACUGGAUCCAGCCCGAUGGGAGCCCACAGGGACAGCCAGACCAAAGCCACCUCUGGGAGGGACUCAGGUGGUGAUGGUGGUGGUGGACAGCCAGACCUGUUCCCUGGGGAGCAGCAGCAAAGGGUGGACACACAUGUGGUCUGCCCUGCUCCCAGUGUGGACGCCGAGUGGCCCUUGCACAGUUUGCUAAGGUGUCCCAAUAAAGCCCCACCGGCCCCA